GAUGAAGAACGCAGCGAAAUGCGAUAAGUAAUGUGAAUUGCAGAAUUCAGUGAAUCAUCGAAUCUUUGAACGCACAUUGCGCCCGCCAGUAUUCUGGCGGGCAUGCCUGUUCGAGCGUCAUUACAACCCUCAGGCCCCCGGGCCUGGCGUUGGGGAUCGGCGGAGCCCCCCGUGGGCACACGCCGUCCCCCAAAUACAGUGGCGGUCCCGCCGCAGCUUCCAUCGCGUAGUAGCUAACACCUCGCGACUGGAGAGCGGCGCGGCCACGCCGUAAACACCCAACUCUUCUGAAGUUGACCUCGAAUCAGGUAGGAAUACCCGCUGAACUUAAGCAUAUCAAUAAGCGGAGGA
rnacentral:misc_RNA from 1 species